UAGAAGGCCUUUAUGGUUGUCCUCAGGACAUUGAUGGUGUGGUAAAAGAUGGAUUGAUAUAUGUAGUUCAGUCAAGGCCACAAAUCUAGCGUUUAGCGACCGCAGGUUACUAUUUAUGCUGAAACUAAUUGAUUUUCAAGUGUAGUCGUGGAUAAAGAGGAGAAGAUUGUAUUGGACUACUCGAGUGGUCGGAUGAUCAUAGAUGGAGCCUUCCAAGUCUCACUCUUGUCAAGAAUUGCACGAGGCAUUUGCGGUUGUUCUAAGGACAUUGAAUGUGUGGUAAAAGAUGGACUGCUAUAUGUAGUUCAGUCAAGGCCACAAAUCUAGCCUUAAUUAGCAACCGCAUCUUGUGUUGCAUUUGUUAUGUGCAUAUUCUUGUCAAAAUGAUAGGUAUGAAAAGAAAAAUAGAGAUUUUUUUUGUCACAGAAUCAAUUUAGGCUAAAGUAACAAAAAAAAGCUGGUAAAAAAUAAAGGGCUAGUCAACUGGAGUCCUACAUGAGUUUAUUCAUGGAAAUUACCCGGAAAAGAAAAGAUUCCACCUCACUGUCUAGAUGAUGGAGUGAGCAUUGGAUUUUAUUCAUUUCUUAUUUGAGUAGCAAUUACUUAAGGUAGAACGGGUUCUUGAGCUUCAGAGGCAGAAGCAAAUCAGAAAUGGCUUCAUCCUACGACGUGUUCUUGAGCUUCUGAGGUGAAGACACACGCAACUACUUCACGAGCCACUUCCACAGUAAAUUAGUUGCGUCUGGAAUCCAUACCUUCAUCGACAACAAACUAAGGAGAGGGGAAGAUGUAUCACUGUCAUUGAUCAGGGCAAUCGAAGGGUCUAGGAUCUCUCUCAUAGUCUUCUCAGCAAACUAUGCAAGUUCAACAUGGUGUCUUGAUGAGCUGGUGAAGAUCAUGGAGUGUAGAGAAACAUUGAGACAAGCUAUUUUUCCAAUAUUCUGUCAUGUUGAUCCUUCAGAUGUCAGGCAUCAGACGGGUAGUUUUGCGAAGGCAUUUGUAAUUUAUAAAGCUGCAAAUAGAUCGAUAUGCAGAGAAUGUAUCCAGGUGGAUAGCUGCUCUUCAUGAAGCUGCAAAUUUGUCUGGCUUCCAUCUUAGUACUAGUAAUAGGAAUGAGGGAAAGCUUCUCGAUGACAUUAUUGACUAGUAGACAGAACUAGUCAGCCAAGGCUGUUACAAUACUCCUGGGUCUAGCAAUGCCAGCUAUGUCAUCUAAGACAGCUUGAAUAAUAAAAUCUGGAGGUGUAUAGAAGAAGCAAAUUCCCAAGUCUUGAUCGGUGCUUGUCUUGGCAAGAAUGUCAGCCACCAUGUUCGUUUCUCUUUGUAUGUGAUUAAUCGUAUAAUGGUCAAAGGACUGCAGCAAAAUUUUGCAGUUGGAUAUGAUUGUUCCCAAAGGGUGAAGGUCUGCAUCAGUACUAUGCAAGAGAUUAAUAAGCACAGCAGAGUCAGAUUCAACAAUUAUUUUCUUGAUUUGACAAGCAAUAGCCAUCUGCAGACCAGAGAAUAGGGCCCAUGCCUCAGCCUGAAGAACCUCGAUCUCCUUUCCCAAUAUUUCUCUUGAAGCCAGCAAUCCAAGAUCCAGAAUCGUCUCUAAUAACUCCACCUACACCAAUCAGACCCCCAUUUGUUCUAGAUCCAUCAACAUUGAGUUUAAAGUAGCCAGAUGGAGGUUUUUGCCAGCCAAUUAACUCAG